UUUCCUCCCCCUCCCUGCCUAUUUCCUUCUCUCCCUUUCUCUCUCCUGUGGCCCUCUCUCUUUCCCCCUUCCUUUCAUAAAGCCUGGAAGCAGCUCAUCUCAGGCAGGAGGCCAGAGUGCUUUCAGCCCUGUCUCCUGUUUCCUUCUGCAUUGCUGUUGAGGAUCAGCCGGUCACGCUCCUUCCUGGAAUGUGUGUGAUGAUAAUUGCCUCUUGCACAAUUAUCUGCCAAGCUCUGUCGGUAAUGAAAUGAAUGAUUUAGUUAUCCUUGUUAGGAAUAGCCCACAAUGCUCAGAAACUCGUUAUUGCAGCCACGAAGCUGGCAGGAAUGCCCUCGGAGGCACCUGCGAGCGGCUUUUACAAUUAGCUCUCUCUUCUCUGCCAGAGACCACAGCCCCAUCCAGCCCCCACCAAGUGCUGGAAACAUCUAAAGGGAAACCAAUAAACAAGCCCUGGGUUAAGGCUCAGCGGCAGAGCUUGCUGGACAAGCUCAAGGCCUUGGGCUUGAUGUCUAGCUCUGCGAGAAAUGUGAGGCUAGGCUGGGCUUCCUGUCUGCCACUUUGACCCACACAUCGCAAAGCUGCAUGGGAAGGAUUAGUCAAAGCUCCGUGGUGAUAUGCACAGGGCAGAGGCCAAUGAGUUCUGGGGAAAGCUUGCUUGGCCAGAUAGAGAAUGUACACAUUCUAUACCAUGUUUCCAUCUCUCACUGCCUCUCUGAGCGCUUUCCUUUUCCAAGCUUCAUAGUCAUGGUCCAGCCUUGAUUCCUGCCUCAGACUUUCUCUACUUACUGCCUGUAUCUACAGAUGUUCAGACUAAGUCGAAUAAAGAAGAGCAGAUAGAGGUGGGUAUGUGCAUGACUGAAGAACGUUGAACCCAGGGACACACAGAAGUAUUAGAGGGAAGUUGUAUUUCUUCUGGGAGAUUCUAUACAGAAGUAGGGAAAGAGUGGCCUGGAGCUAAUUAAAAACACUGUUUCAGUUAGAGAGUAGAAACAUUCUUACAGUUAGAGAGUAUAAAUACUGUUUCAGUUAGAAGUAGAAACACUGUUUCAGUUAGAAAGUAAAGAGCCCCCCCCCCCCCCCCAUCAAGUUCCCCUCUGAGGCAGAACCAUUGCUCAUUGACCAUUCCCUGGGCAGCACACAUCAAAAACCUGUAGGGUGGGGUGGCUGCCUGAAUCCACUGCUAAGGAUCAGCCUCAGCUUGGAGAGGGGUUCUGAGAAAGGGGUGUUUGAGAGCAGUGAAAGAAACAACUCAAUCAUGGGGUAUAAGCUGGAGACAGCUUUGUCUAAGAGAUCUUCAGACAGCUCAUCCAGAGAGCUCAGCUCUCACAGACCAAGGCCCCGUCUUUUAUUUAUGUAUCAAUCCAGUCAUUUACUCCAGGUUCCCUUUUUGAUUAUCCUAUGAAUCAGCAUCAUGACCCCAGGCCCCUGAUUCUUAAGAAAAAGACAGCAAGCACAUUUGUUUUUAUUUUCUUUUUGUCCUUAACAUUGCAAAUGAAUUCAGAGAUCUGCCUAUUUUUUGUAAGCACAAACAGUAACCUUAACUGGGUGGGAUCUUGCCCUGUGACCACCAUUCGCUAAAUUUUUUUAUCUCCUUCCUAAAUCUUUCUGACAAGCUGGCUCAUAGUGCCAUAGUGCAGCUGCCUAUGUUUAUUAGGUCCAUGAAAUCCCUCAUAUAAUUCAUAUUGAAUCCUUAUAUUUUGCAUGGUUGAGAAAUUAUAUCAUAUAUAUAAUACUAUAUAUAUAUAUGAAUAUAAUUUAUUUAAUUUUAUUUCAUGUGCAUUGGUGUCAGAUCCCCUGGAACUGUUACAGACAGUUGUGAGUUGCCAUGUGGGUACUGAAGAUUGAACCCAUGUCCUCUUGAGGAGCAGACAGUGCCCUUAACCACUGAGUCAUUUCUCCAGUCUCCACUCACAUUAUCAGAGUUCUUUCCCAUAGCCUUAAGGGCUGUCCUGAAGGUCUCGGUGUUUACCAUAUUGCUGAGACAUUAGACACACCCUUGCUUCCCGGAUUCAUGCUGCCUCUGAUUAUCAUAGAGUCCUUGGCAGAGAGGACAUUCUCCCAAAGGAGGAAUUUAAAGUAAAAUAUACAAACAAGCCUUGUGCCUAGCAAUCAUCAACACGUGUAGAGGCCCACACCCUGCUGGCACUGUUCCAGGGGCAGGAAAUCAUGUCAUACCAUCCUUUCCACAUGGCCAUGCAAGACUCAGCACUCUACCCCUCCCAUGGUCCCAGUCUGGAUAACUCAUGCUCGUACACACCUGUACUUACUUCUACAGCCUCCAGCAAGUCAUUCUAUAAAAAAUUUGAAGCAACUUAAAAAGAUAAUGAUGAAACAAAUGGAUUGACUAGAUUCUAUGAGAGGGACAAAAUGUGCAGAUCUCAAUGGGGUUAAGAAGACAGGGUUGGACCCUGACCAUCUAUGCUGUGACCAGAGAGGCUGUCCUCAGGAGCUGAAAGGCACAGCCUUGGCCAACUCUGAGACUGAGAAAGGUGCACUGAGAAUCAAUGGGAGCAGAUGGUGUGGGCGGUGCCAUCUCUGAGAAGGAACUUCCUUAGGUAACACAAGCAUGGUGGCCAAUAAAGGGUGAGGACAAAUCAUAAAUUGGCAGAAAUGUCUGAGGAGGAGGAAGGGGAAGAAGGGAAAGGGGGAUGGAGAGGGAGGGAAAGUUUUUGUUGCUAGUUGCACUGGAAUAUUGUUAGACCCAGUAGGAAAAGGACUAUUUUGAAUGUGAUUGAUAAAUAGAUAGAUGUGAUGCCCUCUUUGUGGGCAUCAAGGCUGAUUAUUAUCCACCCUCAGGACAGCCCCCAACCCAGGGAGCACAGUGCAUCUGACUUGUGUGGCUCUGACCUGCAGAUGGCCUGGACCUCAAUCUCAGCCCUGCCACUUACAAGCUGUAUGAUGUUGAGCAAGUUGCUUAACCUUUCUGUGCUGCACUUCCCUCAUACAAUUUCUAGUUCUCCACCUCAGGGCUGGCCUGACUCCCUCAGCUGUGAGUCAGGUAAUCCAGAAUCUCCCUACAGGCUGCAAUGUUGUUCAGAGUGGCUAAGCAAGGUUGGGGGUAAAGCAUCCUUGUCUCGACUGUCUAGGGUAGACAGAGCUCUCAGUGGUGUCUGGUCAAGCCUCCCUCUCAGUCUGGGAUGCCAGUAGACACACCCCUCCACAAUGUGGAUGAUCUAUAAGCCUCUGGGAGCACUUAGUGGGGGCAGUCAAAGAGCACCUUCUUCCAGCAGACAUUCUCUUAAUACAAUCGAUUUUACUUUGGAGCAAAGGGGCAUCUCAGGGUUUCAGGUCCCACAUGGAGGUUUCUCAAGACUCACAUGACAAUUGUAGGGGUUGGUAGUAUAAAGACACAAGGUGGGAGCUGGCAACAGAGGGUGCCCAGUCCUCAGCUGGAAGACUUUUGCCUUUCAAUAACUUCAUCUCCAGGAUUUAGUCUCAAGAUGUUUACAUGUGGAUGUUCAAUGUAUCUAGUGGACAUAUAUACCCCAGGGCAUUUGCAGCCUGCUCUAUGAUCAGGCUUUAGGAGGUAUUGACAAUGUUUGUCACGGGUUGGAUGGGGGAAAGAACAGCAGGGAGUCUUUGUGUUGGAUGAGGAAGGGACUUAGGUUAACCUGGAUCAAGAUGUAAGGGUGAAAGCAAGAGCCUCUUAGACACAUAGAAAUGGGAAGUGAGCACCAGGAAAUGAGAGGAUCAGACUGAUGCAGAACAGUGCACAGGUCUUGGCUAUGGAGGUUCUAGAAGAGCAAGGGCCAGCUAGAAACAUUAUUUGAAUGAUCUAAAAAUGAUUCUUUUGGGUAAAGAGUGGCACAUGUUAAGACAGGGAGGGUUGCAAGGACUUGUCUUCUGAUUGGAGGCCAGCUAAGGCUCUUUCUUGACAAUGUCACGGACAGGACGGAGCAAAGGGGUGAGUUCAAAUAUGGUGUGUAUCCAUGUGUGUGCACAGCCCAGUGUGUGCAGGCUGCCAUGGUUCUAGGCAGCCACAGUCUUCUCCAUGUCUUCAGGUCUCUUCAUGCCUUGGUGCCAGGUGCGGAAGCUGGAGAGUUUCCUAUCUGCUGAGUCUUUACAGCGCCACAGAGCACAGUCUGUCAGAAGGAGAAACCGAGGCACUAUUUCCUAAGGAGCCUGGUGGGAGGAGAUGUCCUGGGCUUGCUGGGAGCCAGGCACAGGUGUCCAUAGGCUGGAUGACUCAAUCCAGUAGGUUGGUUUCUAAACUGGAAUAUUUUCCCCUUGUCUUGUAAAACAAAGAGGGUGGAUUGAACCCAGGAGAGCUGUUUGGAUGGGCAUCCAUUUUAAUCUCGGCUUUUUAGGUGCAGGGUGAGGUAGGUGCUAGGGAGAUUUGAUCUGUAGUUUUUAGUGACUGCAGCUUCUCUUCAGAUUGUUGGUACAUGGAGAGCUAGAGGGGAGAUGAGGAUUCAACAGGCUGAGAAGGGGAUCCCUAAUCCUUCACCUCUGUGAGAGAGGGGGAGUGGGGGAGAAGAGACUCAAGUCUGGGACAGGGAGGAGCUGCCUAGGCUGGGACAGGGAGGAGUGCCUAGGACAUGGAGAAGGUGCCUAGGCUGGGACCGGGAGGGCCCAGGGUGCUGGCAAGGCCCCAUGCACUCUGUAUCUAGCUAUUGUUUUGAUUGACUGACUAUCUAUCUAUCUCUCUAUCUAUCUAUCUAUCUAUCUAUCUAUCUAUCUAUCUAUCUAUCUAUCUAUCUAUCUAUCCAUCUUUGAUUUUGAGACAAGACCUUUUCAUGUAGCCCAGGUCAGUAUUGAGUUCCUGUUGACAUGGUAAGGGCACUUUUGCUAAGACAGGACAUUGUGAAACAGUCGGUGGUGGGACAACAAGAGAAGACCAUUCACUUCCACGUGGUGCUGUCCUCUCUGCAUUCCUUCUGACCCCUGUCCUUCGUUGCUGUGGGGUCUCUUAUUCUCUUUGACUGUAAGAAAAGCAGGGCAUUCAGAGUGGACACAGAUGGCAUUGGGGAGUGUGUGUGUGUGUGUGUGUGUGUGUGUGUGUGUGUGUGUCUGUGUCUGUGUCUGUGUGUGGUGUGCAUGAGAACACAUGUGGUGUGAGAAGGAUCAAAAGGGCUAGGGCUCACCAGCAGACCAGAGCACAGGAUCAGAGAGUUUCUGGGCAGGGCGGGUAGGGCAAGGUCCUGCCUGAGUCAGCCCAGAGGAUGCUCCAUCAGACUCCUGUCAGCCUGCACAGCUGGAGCAGCAAUCCUGGUGGCACUCACUGAGGAGCCAAGAGCAUCCCCAAGACUGAGUAAGUAAAGCAAUGGAGGACCCCAGGGCUCGGUGGGAGCUGAAGAAGCCAGGGAUACUCAGUCAGACCUGGCCUUACAGUCUGAGACAAGAGAGGAGUGGAAGAGGGGGUGUCUUCAUACCUGUCUUUCCCUGUCCUCCAACCCCUGCUUGAUAUUUCUGUCCCUUGAACCCUGUCAUCUCUAAGCCACUGCUAGAGGCUGGAAAUACCAAACAGAAAUUAAGGUGUGAGCCCAAGGACCCAUGUGGCCAAUAGCAUGCACCACAGGGGUGGGUGUCAGGUGUCCGAAAGCAAGUGGCAGGUGUCUAUGGUCCCAGGGGCCAGCCGGGGAGAUGGAAUGGGGGUCUCAGGUUCAUAGAUCCACAGAGGGAGGCAGGACUUGCAGGCAGCAAGGACUUAGACAAGAUGCAAAUCUUAUUUCUACUUACAGGUGCGCCCUUGGCAUAUGCUGGAGAGCGAUGGAAUCCACAGGUCGGGCUCUCAGAAAACAGAGAUUUCACGGACAGGGCUGUGCAGAGUGGCUGGUACCAUCUGGUACCACGUGGGGGCACUGAUACCUCACAGGAUCGGAAAUGUGCUGGAGAGCGCUUUUCAUUUUACUGUGAGAGCCAGCCACUCCUCCUGCGGCCAUCCCAAUCCUCCGUGAACCCUCCAUCGCCCGUGCCAGGUUCUUCUUCAGAAUCCUCAGCAGCCCUCUUGGUUUCCAUGACCCUGGAGCUUUUCCUUGAGUAAAACAAGUAAACCGGACCCUUUCCAAAGUGAUAUCUGAAGUUCCAGGAGACAAGCUUGGAGAAAGAAGGCCCCUAGAAUGGACGCCCUCUCUCCUCCCUCUCCAGGUCUUCCUUCUGUAAGAACCUAUAUCAGCUCCACUUCCAGUGUAUCUACUGCUACAGCAUCAUGUUCUUUCAUUGGUGGGCUGGUGUCCCACGUGUUCUGGCUGGGAAGAUUCAGUUUGUAGCCAACACUACUCAUGCUUUUUGCCAUCUCUUCACCAAGUACCCCUUUCCAAUGGACUCCAAAGCAACCAUCGUUUCUUCAUGUAUUUUGGCCUCAGCAUCCUUUUCUUCGGCUUCCACCAGCAGACAUCCCCAAGGGACCCUGGAAGAUGCCGAGAUAAAAAGUGGAACCAGGGACUGAUACUAACAGAGCUGUCCUCCUGGAGACCCUGGCAGAGGACAGCAUAGCUCUUAGCAGAUUCCUGGAACUGCAGUUGGUUGGAUGAACAAUGUCCUCCCUUCUAGACCUGAGGAGGGAUGAAAUGGAUUAUGUCUUCAUACCCACUUCUCACAUGGAUUUGUAACUAUUUGCUAACCUCCUGCUUCUACUAGACAUAGUCUUAUAAUGGAAGGGACUGUCACCUACCUCAUUUCAACAAAUGUGUCUCUAGGGCUCAGAUUCAGCAACUGGUGGUCAUGACCACUGGUAAAGGACAGGCCUGGGUGUGAAUGAAAUCAAGGAUGGCUGGCAAUCUGACUUGGAGUGGGAAAUUACUUGGUUUCUGAAGUAGUGCUGAACAGUUACCCCUUUCCCAACCCACCCCCUCCCCCCCCAUAGCUCUUGGCUUGCCACCCUCUAUAUGUGUAUCUCUGCAGUUGUAUGGUUCCAUGGUCUGUUAUUGGGGUGAGAGAAAUGGCUAUGUGCACGGAUGAGAACUGUUUUCUGUCAACAUGUGGAUCUCUCUGCUUUGUUCACUUGUCUCUUCUGUAAAUAUUCACAAAUAAAAUGAUCCAAGAUCAA